rnacentral:rRNA from 1 species
GACGAACCGUGCGAACGUUAUUCGGAAUCACUGGGCUUAAAGCGCGUGUAGGCGGGACGGCACGUCGGUCGCUGAAAGCCCCCCCGGCUCAACCGGGGAACGGGCGCCGAUACGACCGCCCUGGAGGGACGUAGGGGACCUGGAACUUCCGGUGGAGCGGUGAAAUGCGUUGAGAUCGGAAGGAACGCCCGUGGCGAAAGCGAGGUCCUGGACGUUUUCUGACGCUGAGACGCGAAAGCCAGGGAGCGAACGGG